UUUAAGUUUUUAUUUCCGGAAAACAAAAAUUCAGUAAUUCAGUGUACAAAAAAAAAAUUGGUUUCAAGUUAAAAAUUUGUUUGUUACUUUUUGGACACACGAACUCAAAGAAUGACUUUUGGGGAGGAAAGGCGGCUCUUCAAAUAAAGAAAGGCGAUAGUGAAGGUACCGGGAUAUCCGAGCAAAUACUCCCCCAGUUCGGAUUCCCAGUGGCUUGCAUCAAUAUUAAUAAUCACUAUAUUAAGCACUAUAUUAAGCACAGAGAAAGGGAAGGAAGGAAAUGGAAGGAUGGUGAUCCUUCAGACGAAGGAAGGACAUCGUGAUGGUACCUGGAAUAUCCGAUCAGUUAUUCCCUUAGUUCGGAUUCCCAGUGGCUUGCAUCAAUAUUAAUAAUCACUAUAUUAAGCAUUAUAUUAAGCACAGAGAAAGGGAAGGAUGGUGAUCCUUCAGACGAAGGAAGGACAUCGUGAUGGUACCUGGAAUAUCCGAUCAGUUAUUCCCUUAGUUCGGAUUCCCAGUGGCUUGCAUCAAUAUUAAUAAUCACUAUAUUAAGCAUUAUAUUAAGCACAGAGAAAGGGAAGGAUGGUGAUCCUUCAGACGAAGGAAGGACAUCGUGAUGGUACCUGGAAUAUCCGAUCAGUUAUUCCCUUAGUUCGGAUUCCCAGUGGCUUGCAUCAAUAUUAAUAAUCACUAUAUUAAGCAUUAUAUUAAGCACAGAGAAAGGGAAGGAUGGUGAUCCUUCAGACGAAGGAAGGACAUCGUGAUGGUACCUGGAAUAUCCGAUCAGUUAUUCCCUCAGUUCGGAUAUACAGUGGCUCGCAUCAAUACCAAAUACAAAUUAUGCAACGAGAUCAAAACCGAAUAAAUUAAUCGACACACAGAUU